AGUGAAAUAGCUGUGUCAUAUGGUGGUUCCAUUCCAAGUUUUCUAGGAAUCUCCAUACUUCUUUCCAGAGUGGUUGCACCAAUUUGCAGUCCCACCAGUAAU
rnacentral:pre_miRNA from 1 species